rnacentral:rRNA from 1 species
UGCCAGUGAUAAACUGGAGGAAGGUGGGGAUGACGUCAAGUCAUCAUGGCCCUUACGACCAGGGCUACACACGUGCUACAAUGGCAUAUACAAAGAGAAGCGACCUCGCGAGAGCAAGCGGACCUCAUAAAGUAUGUCGUAGUCCGGAUUGGAGUCUGCAACUCGACUCCAUGAAGUCGGAAUCGCUAGUAAUCGUAGAUCAGAAUGCUACGGUGAAUACGUUCCCGGGCCUUGUACACACCGCCCGUCACACCAUGGGAGUGGGUUGCAAAAGAAGUAGGUAGCUUAACCUUCGGGAGGGCGCUUACCACUUUGUGAUUCAUGACUGGGGUGAAG